CAGUCGAGCAGUUCCCGACAAUACGCCCGGGUACAUAAUGUAUAAAUAAUGUAAUGUAUGCAAUGUUGUGUAACUACCAGCUUGAAGUAUCCAGAUCGUUCUGUACUGCACCCAGUAAAGCGAAGCUGUUUUGAAAUAUUUCCAGAUCCACCUGCUGCUGAGAGUGACAGAACUGGACAUGGACUGUAACUGGUGGCGCCAUGCAGGAUCCAGAUGAGGCGGUCGGAGACUCGGACCACUGUGAAACCUGCUCUAAACUUUUGGAUUGUACAGAGGAUUUCAACCUUCCAGAGGACAACGUGUUGCUUAUUGAUGUAGAUGUUAAGGUAAUAAACACACCUCUUGGUGAAUUUAAUAAGAAGAAACGACAAGACGAGAGGAAGAGUUUUGUUAACAAGCUUAAUAAAAACAUAUCAGCUCUGAGGAACACGGCAGGAGGCAUAGUGCUGGUUCACCUACAGGGAUUAGUAUCGGAAGACAAAUGCCUUGACUACUUCCAUGAAAUAGUCGAUGUGAAACUGAAUGAUAUGAUCGAAGAUGGCAGUCUCUUUGUGCAGAGUUACAAGAAGGAUUGGCUUCUAGAAAACGAAUCAAACAGUGAAAAUAUCAGUCGUUUUCAAGGGUUUGUUGCUAUCCAUGUAACAGGUUCUCGCAUUGUGACAACAUUCAACUUCAAAUCAAAACAACCGCUUGAUAACUGUGUAAUUGAUGUACAAAGUAAUGUAGCCAUACAAUUUCUAAAACGGAAAAACUGUUUUGAAGACAAACGUACGUCAAUUCGGGACAUACCACAGAUCAAUGAACAGCGAAACAUUCAACUAAAACGUUUUGACACUGCCAAGGAAGAUACUUUGCAAAGUGUUCACAAAUUCAAAGACUUUCUUUGGAAAUAAUGUUGGUUAGGUGAAUAUAUAAGUGCCUUUUCUAAGUUAAAUGGUGGUGGGUCUUUCUUCCUUGGCAUCAACGAGAACGAUGAACUAUACGGUGCCUACACAUCUAAGACGUUUUCAUCAACUGGCAUAAAAUUCAAAGAUUCGAAUUUUCGUCAAGAGACCGAAGCCGCCAUUUUCCAGUCUUUGGAGGAGAAUACUGUUAUCGUGACAUACAGUGGAGUGCCACUGGAAACUCCUCGCAACACUAUUCAAGUUGCAUUCCAUGCCGUAGAGGCAGACAAGUUUGUGCUGGAGGUUGCUGUUGCAGCAGUAGAUGGUUUACUGUUUUACGACAAGGAAGGCCCAGAAGCUUACGAGCAUGAAAAUAGCAGACUGAGGAGGUUAUUGAUCACAGAGUGGUACGAACGAUUGUGUAUCGAGACUGAUGGCGAUGCU